CGGUGCUUGAGACCCAGAAAGCAUAUUCUAAACCAGUAUUCUAAACAGACAAUACCCUCACUUAUAAACAUGAAGUUUCUAGUCCUUGUCGCUUUUUUCGCCGCUCUAGUGUUCAUUACACAGGCUUCACCCAUCGCUGAAGAAAUACACUCUGCAGAACUAUCUUCUAUCGCAGUGGAACCAAUGGAGAUGUUAAAUAGCGCUCCACGGAGCUGCACGCCCUCGUCUUGUUACAAUUUGUGCAGAAGACUGGGAUGGCGCACAGGCAGCUGCAAUGGGCAACGUCAGUGCGUCUGCAGGCGUUGAUACACCUACAACUAUUUUAAUUUUAUAUUAUAAGCUUUUGUUUAAUAAAACAAUACAAUUGUAUUUUUAAAAUAUAAAUAAAAAUUUGGGCCAA